GAUGAACGCUAGCGGCAGGCCUAAUACAUGCAAGUCGAACGAGAUUAAGAGGCUUGCUUCUUAUGAAAGUGGCGCACGGGUGCGUAACGCGUAUGCAACCUACCUUAAUCAGGGGGAUAGCCCGAAGAAAUUCGGAUUAAGACCGCAUAAAAACACAGGAUAGCAUUAUCCAAUGUUCAAAUAUUUAUAGGAUUAAGAUGGGCAUGCGUGUCAUUAGCUAGUUGGCGGGGUAACGGCCCACCAAGGCGACGAUGACUAGGGGAUCUGAGAGGAUGACCCCCCACACUGGUACUGAGACACGGACCAGACUCCUACGGGAGGCAGCAGUAAUGAAUAUUGGUCAAUGGAGGGAACUCUGAACCAGCCAUGCCGCGUGCAGGAAGACAGCCCUCUGGGUCGUAAACUGCUUUUAUUCGGGAAUAAACCUUUCUACGUGUAGGAAGCUGAAUGUACCGAAGGAAUAAGGAUCGGCUAACUCCGUG
rnacentral:rRNA from 1 species